GAGGGUGAAGCGUUAAUCGGAAUUACUGGGCGUAAAGCGCACGCAGGCGGUCUGUCAAGUCGGAUGUGAAAUCCCCGGGCUCAACCUGGGAACUGCAUUCGAAACUGGCAGGCUAGAGUCUUGUAGAGGGGGGUAGAAUUCCAGGUGUAGCGGUGAAAUGCGUAGAGAUCUGGAGGAAUACCGGUGGCGAAGGCGGCCCCCUGGACAAAGACUGACGCUCAGGUGCGAAAGCGUGGGGAGCAAACAGGAUUAGAUACCCUGGUAGUCCACGCCGUAAACGAUGUCGACUUGGAGGUUGUGCCCUUGAGGCGUGGCUUCCGGAGCUAACGCGUUAAGUCGACCGCCUGGGGAGUACGGCCGCAAGGUUAAAACUCAAAUGAAUUGACGGGGGCCCGCACAAGCGGUGGAGCAUGUGGUUUAAUUCGAUGCAACGCGAAGAACCUUACCUACUCUUGACAUCCAGAGAACUUAGCAGAGAUGCUUUGGUGCCUUCGGGAACUCUGAGACAGGUGCUGCAUGGCUGUCGUCAGCUCGUGUUGUGAAAUGUUNGGUUAAGUCCCGCAACGAGCGCAACCCUUAUCCUUUGUUGCCAGCGGUCCGGUCGGGAACUCAAAGGAGACUGCCAGUGAUAAACUGGAGGAAGGUGGGGAUGACGNCAAGUCAUCAUGGCCCUUACGAGUAGGGCUACACACGUNCUACAAUGGUAUAUACAAAGAGAAGCGACCUCGCGAGAGCAAGCGGNCCUCAUAAAGUAUGUCGGAGUCCGGAUUGGAGUCUGCAACUCGACUCCAUGAAGUCGGAAUCGCUAGUAAUCGNAGNUCAGAAUGCUACGGUGAAUACGUNCCCGGGCCUUGU
rnacentral:rRNA from 1 species